rnacentral:pre_miRNA from 1 species
CAUCUUACUGGACAGUGCUGGACUUCUCAGCUCAGCUCUAACACUGUCUGGUAACGAUGUU